UACAGAGGUCUCAAGCGUUGUUCGGAUUCAUUGGGCGUAAAGGGUGCGUAGGCGGCGCGGUAAGUCGGGUGUGAAAUCUCGGGGCUUAACUCCGAAACUGCAUUCGAUACUGCCGUGCUUGAGGACGAGAGAGGAACAUGGAACUCCAGGUGUAGUAGUGAAAUGCGUAGAUAUCUGGAAGAACACCAAUGGCGAAGGCAAUGUUCUGGCUCGUUUCUGACGCUCAGGUGCGAAAGCCAGGGGAGCGAACGGG
rnacentral:rRNA from 1 species